GCUUCCACUCUCUCUCUACAUUAAUCCCUUCCUUUCCCUCUAUUCCUUUCCCGUUUUGCUCUCUCUCAGCUCUCAAGCACCCUCUCUCUCCCCCAAUCCUAUCGCGCGAGCGCACUCGCGAGCCCGGUGCCUCGCCUCCCCACCAAGCCCUAACCCUAACCUAGGAUCCCGGCGGCAGCGGCGGCGGCGGCGGUGGCGGCGGGAGCCAUGGCGGGUAACGGCGGCGACGCCUUCGCGGAAGAGGCCGAGCCCACGGUCACCAUCGGCGAGUACAUCGAGGGCAUCGAGGCCGAGGAGCUGGAGGCGGAUUUGGUGCUGGGCGGGGACGAAGGCAAGGAGUGCACCUACGGCGGCGGCUACCUCAAGCGCCAGGCCGUCUUCUCCUGCCUCACAUGCGUGCCCGACGGAGUCGCCGGGGUCUGCACCGCCUGCAGCCUCGCCUGCCACGACGGCCAUGAGGUUGUUGAACUUUGGACAAAACGAAAGUUUCGUUGUGACUGUGGCAACUCAAAGUUUGGUGGUCGCUUUUGCAAACUUUGCCCUGAGAAAGAUUCUGAGAAUCAAGAAAAUUCUUAUAACCAUAACUUCAAAGGUUCUUAUUGCACAUGUGGUAGGCCUUAUCCUGAUCCAGAAGCCAAAGAGCAAGUUGAGAUGAUACAGUGCUGUAUUUGUGAGGAUUGGUUUCACGAGGAUCAUAUUGGUCUUAACUCUAUUAAACAGGUACCACGAGAUGAGGAAGGGGAGCCACUCUACGAGGAUUUUAUAUGCCAUAAAUGCUCACCUGUUUGCUAUUUCUUGAAGUUGUAUCCAGAUGCAAUUUGGGCUUCUAGUGAGCAGAAUUCUGCACCACAAGCCGAUACAAGUGGUCCAAAUGUGAUGGAAGGAGGACCUUCAAGUCAUGAUAGCACCGAGAAACAUGAAAAUAGUACUCUUGAUCAUAUGGAUAGCGAGAAGACCUAUAUUGAGGAUAAUUGUGUGAAGGAUAUAUCAGUUCCUCAGAAAGCCAAUUUUGAUAACAGUUCUGGUAGCAACUGCAAGAUAGGAAUGGAUAUAACUGCAACUUCAGCUGAUUCAGAGAAAAAUAUGCCUUUUUUCAUGUCUAAAGGAUGGAGAGAUACUCUAUGUAGAUGCGAAAGAUGCACCAACUUCUACGCGCAACGAGGUAUUGCAUAUCUUACUGACAAGGAGGACUCUAUUGAGGAAUAUGAGAAGAUUGCCAAACAGAAGAGGGGGAAGAAGUUGGAGCAGCAGGAAGGAGCCGAGACAAACUUUCUCAAUUCACUUAACCAUGUUCAGAAGAUAGAAAUCUUGAGUGGCAUUAAUGAUAUGAAGAAUGAGUUUCAGUCCUUUCUGGUAACAAUCUCCUCUUAAUUGAUAAGUGAAUAUCCCAUACAAGCGAAACUUAAAGAAUUUGAGUACCUGAUACUCCUUGCUAAAACAUAUGGCAACCAAUCAAAGAAGUGAACACGGACAUUUUCUGAAACACUACUCAAAGAGACAUUCUUAAGAGCAUCUGGAAUCAUUCGAUUCAUCAAAACCAGUAACAUCUGAAGACAUACGAGCUGUUUUCGAGAAUCUUGCUAAGAAGAAACAGAGGUUAUCUUGACCUCUAUUACUUUCCUGAGGCAGAUACUCCGCCGCUGGAUAAUGUAGGCCCAAGUUGGGUACACUAAACUCUCGAGUUGUUAUCUAGGUGCUAGUGGACUUCCUUGUGUAAUGUUGCUAGCUGUACAAGUUUCCCCUGAGGCCUUGUCUUGAGGGGAUAAAACCCUGGUCCAUCCAUGUGGAUUCGCAGGAUUUCAGUUAAGUUUCAUGGCCUAUCCACGUGGAUAAGUCAGUUGAAUGGUCACCAGCGUAUAUCACUGAAAAAAAAAUCCCUCUGGUUUCUAAAAACUGUGGUGUUACACGGAUGACUGUUACCGUGGUUUUCUUUUUUCUUUUUCCCUGCGAAGAUUAUUACAAGGAUCACUAUUACCAUGGCUUUCUAAAAGCUGUGGUAUUGCAUGGAUAACUGUUACCACC